AUUCAAAUAUGUAAACUCUUAUAAAUAUAGAUCAUCUUCAUCUCGAGAAACCUUAGCGAUCUCUUCCAUGUUUCUCAAUUGUCUCUACGAUUUGUGUUCCGUGAAGGAGUGCCACCACCUCCUCCUCACUAGAACCAUCGCUGAUAUAGUAAAACGAUUGAAGGACUCCUCCACCGAUUCCGGAGUUAGGGAUGCUUGUGUCAAGGAUUUAUCUCAAUAGUGAUGAUGCUGUGGUGGCACUGUUCGUUGAGCCAUUGUUCGAGGCAAUGAGAGAGAGGAGGAAAGGGGUGCAAUCUGGAGCUGCAAUGUGUAUGGCUAAGAUGGUGCAAUCAGCCGCCACUCCUCCAAUUUCUUCUUUCCAAAAACUUUGCCCUAGAAUCUCCAAGCUUCUGAGCAAUCCUUGUUUCUUGGCUGAGGCUUCCCUUUUGCUCCUUGUUUCAAGCCUCUCUCAGGUGGGAGCCAUUGCGCCUCAGAGCUUGGAUUCUCUGCUAGAACGCAUCUAUGCUUGUCUUGCAAGUACAUGUUGGGAAACACGUACGAAAGGCUGCGGCUGAUACGUUGACUGCAUUGGCAUCACAUUCCAGCUCUUUGAUUUACGACAAAACAGAUUUCACCCUUGCCCUGCUGGAGAACAGCUGUGUCAAGGAAAAGAUUAAAGCUGUUAGGGAAAGUAUGAAAGAGGCGCUGCAGUUAUGGAAAAACAUUUCUGGAUAAACUAGAUCGGCGGGAAAUAGAGUUGAUGAGUAUUAGUGACAUUGAAUCUGCUUAUGAAGAAGUGUUUGGCACCAAUGACCAGAGCUUGAUCAUCUCGCUGAUGAAGAAGACGGGACCCAUUUUUGACCGUCUGUUAUCAAUUAAGAUUGCACACAAAAUUAUAAAAUUCAUCUCUAAGCUUCUGGAGGAUCACAAUUAUUACGACAUGUGUGUAGAUUGGAUUAGAGAGGUACAUAAUUUUAUACAUGACGUCUGUGUAUCUUUCUCGUUUGAAUCCAGACUUUAACACUCUGCUCUCUCUGCUCUCUCUAAUCUUUGUUAGUAGUU